rnacentral:lncRNA from 1 species
CGUCGUACGAAUAUUCCCUGUUAAAAUGAAUAUUCCCCGACCCAUCGAAUAUUACAUAACCACUUGCUUACUUUGCAAAAUUUGUAAAUAUUACCCACAACUAUAACAUUAUAUCAAAUCCACACCAUAAUAUUCAAAAAUAUAUUUCGAGAAAAUUAUUCUUUAUUCAUAAAAGUUGGGGUCUUACAAUAACAAUCUUGUACUCUAAUUUGAGUUUCAAAUUAGGGUUUCCCAUAGUAAUACUAGGGUUUGGUCAUAACACACCAUAAUUGACCAACCAUUAUCAAUACGUACAUACAAUACAUAUU